GAGGAAAGUCCGGGCAACAUAGAGCAUCCUACUUCCUAACAGAAAGCUGUCCGCGAGGGUAGAGUAACGUAGAAGAAAAUAACCGCCGGUGUCCUUGGGCAUAGGUAAGGGUGAGAAGGUAGGGUAAGAGCCUACCAGUCUUGUGGUGACACAAGGGCUGUGCGUCUUGGGAGUUGUAAGGUCAUGUAAACCGACGCUAUGAGAGUUGCUCGCUCCAUGUCGGAGGGUAGACCGCUAAAGCCUGUAUGGUGACAUGCGGCUCAGAUAAAUGACAGACACUUUGCUGAAUGAAGAAUGAUGAAUGAAUAAUGAAGA
rnacentral:RNase_P_RNA from 1 species